GAUGAACGCUGGCGGCGUGCCUAAUACAUGCAAGUCGAGCGAACAGACGAGGAGCUUGCUCCUCUGACGUUAGCGGCGGACGGGUGAGUAACACGUGGAUAACCUACCUAUAAGACUGGGAUAACUUCGGGAAACCGGAGCUAAUACCGGAUAAUAUAUUGAACCGCAUGGUUCAAUAGUGAAAGACGGUUUUGCUGUCACUUAUAGAUGGAUCCGCGCCGCAUUAGCUAGUUGGUAAGGUAACGGCUUACCAAGGCAACGAUGCGUAGCCGACCUGAGAGGGUCGUCGGCCACACUGGAAAUGAGACACGGUCCAGACUCCUACGGGAGGCAGCAGUAGGGAAUCUUCCGCCAUGGGCGAAAGCCUGACGGAGCAAAGCCGCGUGAGUGAUGAAGGUCUUCGGAUCGUAAAACUCUGUUAUUAGGGAAGAACAAAUGUGUAAGUAACUAUGCACGUCUUGACGGUACCUAAUCAGAAAGCCACGGCUAACUACGUG
rnacentral:rRNA from 1 species